rnacentral:rRNA from 1 species
UUCGCUCUUCAACGAGGAAUCCCUAGUAAGCAUGAGUCAUCAGCUCAUGCUGAUUACGUCCCUGCCCUUUGUACACACCGCCCGUCGCUACUACCGAUUGAAUGGCUUAGUGAGACCCUCGGAUCGACUCGCGGAAGCCUUAACCGGCAUCCGUUUGUUGAGAAGUUGGUCAAACUUGGUCAUUUAGAGGAAGUAAAAGUCGUAACAAGGUUUCCGUAGGUGAACCUGCGGAAGGAUCAUUAAAAAAAAUGGGGUAUUUAUACCUCUUGUAUUUAAAACAACUCUUUAAUAACCAUUUUUUAAAUAAAAAUAAAAACUUUCAACAACGGAUCUCUUGGCUCUCGCAUCGAUGAAGAACGCAGCGAAAUGCGAAAAGUAAUAUGAAUUGCAGAAUUCCGUGAAUCAUCAAAUCUUUGAACGCAAAUUGCACUCCUUGGUAUUCCGAGGAGUACACUUGCUUGAGGGUCAGUUAAUAAACAUCGUACCAUCUUUUGGUGUUGCGGAUCUGGGUUAUCCGGUUUUAAGUCGGUUACCUAAAAUUAUUAAUUAUUGUAAUGUGAUACGUACUAAGAGAGUCGUUAAUCAUUAAAACUUAAUAUAUAUUACCUCUAAUUCUUUUUUAUUGGUAAAGUAUAUAAUUUUUGAGAAUGACAUCAAGUCAAGUGAGAGUACCCGCUGAACUUAAGCAUAUCAAUAAGCGGAGGAAAAGAAACUAACAAGGAUUCCCCUAGUAACGGCGAGCGAAGCGGGAAGAGCACAAUUUUUAAAUCUAACUGGUUUUCCAGGUAGAGUUGUAAUUUGAAGUAAUGUUUUUAAUGUUCCAGGUUGGUUUAAAUCCUUUGGGAUAAGGUAUCAUGGAGGGUGAGAAUCCCGUGUAUAUCAACCGCUGGGAUGUUAUAAAUACAUUCUCUAAGAGUCGAGUUGUUUGGGAAUGCAGCUCUAAAUGGGUGGUAAAUUUCACCUAAUGCUAAAUAUAAGCGAGAGACCGAUAGCGAACAAGUACCGUGAGGGAAAGAUGAAAAGAACUUUGAAAAGAGAGUUAAAUAGUAUGUGAAAUUGUUGAAAGGGAAACGAUUGAAGUCAGUCGUGCUGGCGCGAAAUCAGCUUGACCACUAGGUGAUCACAGGCCGUAGCGAGCCUCAAAACCGCUACGACUUGUGAUUGCUUAGUGGCCUGGUGCACUUUCGUGUCGGCUGGUUAACAUCAAUUUCGAUCGUCAUAAAAAGGCUGGAGGGAUGUGGCUCCUCCGGGGAGUGUUAUAACCUUUAGCGGAAUGUGGUGAUCGGGAUUGAGGUUUGCAACGAAUACCUUCAGGGCUGUUCCACCUGGCUUCUCAUCGGCAUCCUGGCGGCGACAGCUUGCUGACGUCGUUAGGAUCAGCCUUCGAACAGGCUAGAGUGUGAGCAAAUUCGUUAAGGAUGUUAACGUAAUGGCUUUAAACGACCCGUCUUGAAACACGGACCAAGGAGUCUAACAUAUAUGCGAGUGUU